AAUGUAACUCCGCCUGUAGCUGGUCCGGAGGCCACCGCCGGUCCCAAGCCCGGAUAAAGGAGGAGGGUU
rnacentral:ribozyme from 2 species